rnacentral:rRNA from 1 species
AGUGAACGCUGGCGGUAGGCCUAACACAUGCAAGUCGAACGGCAGCACAGUAAGAGCUUGCUCUUACGGGUGGCGAGUGGCGGACGGGUGAGGAAUACAUCGGAAUCUACUUUUUCGUGGGGGAUAACGUAGGGAAACUUACGCUAAUACCGCAUACGACCUACGGGUGAAAGCAGGGGAUCUUCGGAUCUUGCGCGAUUGAAUGAGCCGAUGUCGGAUUAGCUAGUUGGCGGGGUAAAGGCCCACCAAGGCGACGAUCCGUAGCUGGUCUGAGAGGAUGAUCAGCCACACUGGAACUGAGACAUGGUCCAGACUCCUACGGGAGGCAGCAGUGGGGAAUAUUGGACAAUGGGCGCAAGCCUGAUCCAGCCAUACCGCGUGGGUGAAGAAGGCCUUCGGGUUGUAAAGCCCUUUUGUUGGGAAAGAAAAGCAGCAGGUUAAUACCCCGCUGUUCUGACGGUACCCAAAGAAUAAGCACCGGCUAACUUCGUG